UACGUAGGUGGCAAGCGUUGUCCGGAUUUACUGGGCGUAAAGGGCGUGCAGGCGGUCUGUUAAGUCUAGGGUGAAAGCUCCCGGCUCAACUGGGAGAGGUCCUUGGAUACUGGCGGACUUGAGGGAUGCAGAGGAAAGUGGAAUUCCCGGUGUAGUGGUGAUAUGCGUAGAUAUCGGGAGGAACACCAGUGGCGAAGGCGGCUUUCUGGGCAUUUCCUGACGCUGAGGCGCGAAAGCGUGGGGAGCAAACAGG
rnacentral:rRNA from 1 species